GAAAAUACCUGGCAGGAAAGAAAUCAUGAUCAUGAAGGUAAUUUUCGUAGGGUGCAUCUUAUCCAUUGUGAUCCGAAUGUGCUGACCCCUGUGAUUUCCCCAAAUGUUGGAAACUCGACUAUGUAAUUUGUGGGAGUGAGGGUCAGUGUUCACUGUCUCUCU